AACGAACGCUGGCGGCAGGCCUAACACAUGCAAGUCGAGCGCGCCCUUCGGGGUGAGCGGCGGACGGGUGAGUAACGCGUGGGAACGUGCCCUUUUCUACGGAAUAGCCUCGGGAAACUGAGAGUAAUACCGUAUACGCCCUUUGGGGGAAAGAUUUAUCGGAAAAGGAUCGGCCCGCGUUGGAUUAGGUAGUUGGUGGGGUAAUGGCCUACCAAGCCGACGAUCCAUAGCUGGUUUGAGAGGAUGAUCAGCCACACUGGGACUGAGACACGGCCCAGACUCCUACGGGAGGCAGCAGUGGGGAAUCUUAGACAAUGGGGGCAACCCUGAUCUAGCCAUGCCGCGUGAGUGAUGAAGGCCUUAGGGUUGUAAAGCUCUUUCAGCUGGGAAGAUAAUGACGGUAUCAGCAGAAGAAGCCCCGGCUAACUCCGUG
rnacentral:rRNA from 1 species